CUGAUUCCAUCCCGAACUCAGAAGUGAAACGAAACAGCGUCGAUGGUAGUGUGGGGUUUCCCCAUGUGAGAGUAGAACAUCGCCAGGC
rnacentral:rRNA from 1 species